rnacentral:rRNA from 1 species
AUUGAACGCUGGCGGCAGGCCUAACACAUGCAAGUCGAGCGGCAGCGGGAAAGUAGCUUGCUACUUUUGCCGGCGAGCGGCGGACGGGUGAGUAAUGCCUGGGAAAUUGCCCAGUCGAGGGGGAUAACAGUUGGAAACGACUGCUAAUACCGCAUACGCCCUACGGGGGAAAGCAGGGGACCUUCGGGCCUUGCGCGAUUGGAUAUGCCCAGGUGGGAUUAGCUAGUUGGUGAGGUAAUGGCUCACCAAGGCGACGAUCCCUAGCUGGUCUGAGAGGAUGAUCAGCCACACUGGAACGGAGAAACGGGCCAGACGCCUACGGGAGGCAGCAGUGGGGAAUAUUGCACAAUGGGGGAAACCCUGAUGCAGCCAUGCCGCGUGUGUGAAGAAGGCCUUCGGGUUGUAAAGCACUUUCAGCGAGGAGGAAAGGUUGUUGGCUAAUAUCCAACAGCUGUGACGUUACUCGCAGAAGAAGCACCGGCUAACUCCGUGCCAGCAGCCGCAGUAAAAC